rnacentral:rRNA from 1 species
GACGAACGCUGGCGGCGUGCUUAACACAUGCAAGUCGAACGAUGAUGCCCAGCUUGCUGGGUGGGUUAGUGGCGAACGGGUGAGUAACACGUGAGUAACCUGCUCCUGACUCGGGGAUAAGCGGUGCAAACGACGUCUAAUACUGUAUAUGACUGCCGGCGGCAUGGCCUGGUGGUGGAAAGAUUUUUUGGGUUGGGAUGGACUCGCGGCCUAUCAGCUUGUUGGUGAGGUAAUGGCUCACCAAGGCGACGACGGGUAGCGGGCCUGAGAGGGUGACCGGCCACACUGGGACUGAGACACGGCCCAGACUCCUACGGGAGGCAGCAGUGGGGAAUAUUGCACAAUGGGCGAAAGCCUGAUGCAGCAACGCCGCGUGAGGGAUGACGGCCUUCGGGUUGUAAACCUCUUUUAGUAGGGAAGAAGCGUAAGUGACGGUACCUGCAGAAAAAGCACCGGCUAACUACGUGCCAGCAGCCGCGGUAAUAC